CAAUAGCGUAUAUUAAAGUUGUUGCAGUUAAAAAGCUCGUAGUUGGAUUUCGGGCCGGGCCAGUUGGUCCGCCGCAAGGUGUGUUACUGACUGGUCUGUUCUUCUUCGCAAAGACUGCGUGUGCUCUUCGUUGAGUGUGCGUAGGAUUUACGACGUUUACUUUGAAAAAAUUAGAGUGUUCAAAGCAGGCUAUCGCUUGAAUACAUGAGCAUGGAAUAAUGGAAUAGGACUUUGGUCCUAUUUUGUUGGUUUCUAGGACCGAAGUAAUGAUUAAGAGGGACAAUUGGGGGCAUCCGUAUUUCGUUGUCAGAGGUGAAAUUCUUGGAUUUACGAAAGACGAACAACUGCGAAAGCACUUGCCAAGAGUGUUUUCAUUAA
rnacentral:rRNA from 1 species